CCUGCCCCUAGAGGCCUUGCAGGUGUGGCUGUUGUGUCACAUGGGGGUCAUUCAGUGGCAGAGAGGAGAGAGGCCAUGUCUACGCUCAAUGUUCUGACCUGUGAACAUAUGAUUGACGUUCAUAUGUUUCAUAUG
ensembl:snoRNA